rnacentral:rRNA from 1 species
UACGUAGGGUGCGAGCGUUAAUCGGAAUUACUGGGCGUAAAGCGUGCGCAGGCGGUUCGUUGUGUCGGCGGUGAAAGCCCCGGGCUCAACCUGGGAAUUGCAUUGGAUACUGGCAGGCUAGAGUGCGGUAGAGGAUGGCGGAAUUCCCGGUGUAGAGGUGAAAUUCGUAGAUAUCGGGAAGGAACACCAGUGGCGAAGGCGGCGACCUGGGCCAAUAUUGACGCUGAGGUGACGAAAGCGUGGGGAGCAACAGG